rnacentral:tRNA from 1 species
UGAGGUAUAGCUCAGUGGUUGAGCACUUGCCUGUCAUAUGCAAGACCCUGGGUUCAAUCCAAAGUACUUCAA